GACGAACGCUGGCGGCGUGCUUAACACAUGCAAGUCGAACGGAAAGGCCCUGCUUUUGUGGGGUGCUCGAGUGGCGAACGGGUGAGUAACACGUGAGUAACCUGCCCUUGACUUUGGGAUAACUUCAGGAAACUGGGGCUAAUACCGGAUAGGAGCUCCUGCUGCAUGGUGGGGGUUGGAAAGUUUCGGCGGUUGGGGAUGGACUCGCGGCUUAUCAGCUUGUUGGUGGGGUAGUGGCUUACCAAGGCUUUGACGGGUAGCCGGCCUGAGAGGGUGACCGGCCACAUGGGGACUGAGAGACGGCCCAGACUCCAACGGGAGGCAGCGGUGGGGAAUAUUGCACAAUGGGCGGAAGCCUGAUGCAGCAACGCCGCGUGCGGGAUGACGGCCUUCGGGUUGUAAACCGCUUUCGCCUGUGACGAAGCGUGAGUGACGGUAAUGGGUAAAGAAGCACCGGCUAACUACGUG
rnacentral:rRNA from 1 species